AGCUGGGUGGCAGGCUGGUAGGCAGGCUAGCCCUCUCCAUCCUCAGUUCUCAGGUGCCUGCUGGAUUUUGCAAGUGAACAUCCAUUUCAGACUACUUGUUGGCUCCUGGAACCCUUCGUGGACCACAGUUGCAAAUAGAUCCCCACCAAUGAUCCUUGAACCACACUGCACAGACAAGCCUUCUAUUCAUUUUAAAAGCAUCUGUAAUGAAUACCGUGAAUAAACGUACACCCCCUUUGUGGACAUCCUUCACAAGGUCACCGAACAGGAAGGCUGAACUCAGGGUGCACGGCUUUCCUUCAGAAUUAACGCUGUCUUCUAAUGGUGCCUUUGAAACAAGGUUUCACCUCCGACUGCCUCAUUCACUCUGC